rnacentral:rRNA from 1 species
AUUGAACGCUGGCGGCAGGCUUAACACAUUCAAGUCGAGCGAGCGGCGGACGGGUGAGUAAUGUCUGGGAAACUGCCUGAUGGAGGGGGAUCACUACUGGAAACGGUAGCUAAUACCGCAUACCAUCAGAUGUGCCCAGAUGGGAUUAGCUAGUAGGUGGGGUAAUGGCUCACCUAGGCGACGAUCCCUAGCUGGUCUGAGAGGAUGACCAGCCAAACUGGAACUGAGAAACGGUCCAGAGUCCUACGGGAGGUAGCAGUGGGGAAUAUUGCACAAGGGGCGCAAGCAUGAUGGAGACAUGCCGCGUGUAUGAAGAAGGCCGUCGGGUUGUAAAGCACUUUCAGCGGGGAGGCGUUACUCGCAGAAGAAGCACCGGCUAACUCCGUGCCAGCAGCCGCGGUAAUUC